GACGAACGCUGGCGGCGUGCUUAACACAUGCAAGUCGAACGAUGAAGCCCAGCUUGCUGGGUGGAUUAGUGGCGAACGGGUGAGUAACACGUGAGUAACCUGCCCUUCACUCUGGGAUAACCGCCGGAAACGGCGGCUAAUACUGGAUAUGACUCCUGCCUGCAUGGGCUGGGGGUGGAAAGAUUUUUUGGUGGAGGAUGGACUCGCGGCCUAUCAGCUUGUUGGUGGGGUAAUGGCCUACCAAGGCGACGACGGGUAGCCGGCCUGAGAGGGUGACCGGCCACACUGGGACUGAGACACGGCCCAGACUCCUACGGGAGGCAGCAGUGGGGAAUAUUGCACAAUGGGCGAAAGCCUGAUGCAGCGACGCCGCGUGAGGGAUGACGGCCUUCGGGUUGUAAACCUCUUUCAGCUCUGACGAAGCUUUUGUGACGGUAGGAGCAGAAGAAGCACCGGCUAACUACGUGCCAGCCGCCGCCGUAACAC
rnacentral:rRNA from 1 species